UCCCACAUCUGCCCCUCACCAGCUGAUAUUCAGUAUGGUCAAGUUCUUUAACUUAAGGGCAAAUCCCUUCAUCUCUAAAAUGAGAGCAGUCAUUGCAUUUGCCUCUUAGGCUUUUUUUUUUUUUUUCUCAUCGUUAAUUGAAAUUUUGCAAAUAAAGGACUUUUAUUUGGCAUGUAGUAGGUUGUCAGUAAGUAAUAGUGUUAUUUUCCUCUGUGAAUCUCUCCUGCUGCAGAAUUGAACCGUGGUUGUGCAUUCACGUACCCAGCACUUGCAGUGUUGUGAGUCUCCUACACUCGGGUGACAGGUGAAUCCAAUAGAAAUAGUCAAAUAUUUAAGACGAAUAUUAUGCAUUGAAUACUGCAGAUGCUAAAACUGUCAAAGACAAGAAACAUACUGAUUUUCAUUUUGCAUUUUAUGUGAUACGGUAUCUUGUACAAAGCAAGGGACCCACAACUGUUUGGGUCUGUUCCUCUUCCCAGGAGGAGGUUGUGAUGAUCACAUAUAGAUGCAUGAUCUUUCCUGUCCUGCUAAUCUGGACCUGGGAAGGGAAGCCAGAUCAGGGGACAUUUCUGGGCAGGGGAGAACCACAGGUGUUGAGGAACAGAACUGAGUUUGAUUUCUUGCUCUGAGACCCGGGAAAGCCACUUCUCCUCAGGUGGCAAACGCAUAUCGGAGGCUUCCCCGCGGUGCCCAGGACUCACCUGCUCCCAGAAGACAAAGGGCCACGCAGCAGAGAAGCCUGGAGCCCAUGGCAACACUGGGAAGCCAAGAUAUCAUCCAGCUCAGGGGUGGGGGCCCCGGGGGUGAGCAGCCUAAAGCUUUGAACCUCCCAUUUCCCUGAAAGGAGUAUUUGCCUAUGACGUCACCACUCCCACAUCGCCACUCUGGUGACUCUGCAGGGCUGUGCCGAGCCCUGUGGCUCCGAGAAGUUCAUGUGCAGAUCAGAGAGACGGUCACCCAAAUGUCGCACUGAGAGCUAAUCUGGCAAGGGUCAUUUUGCUCACUGUAACUCAUCCUAAUAUGCAAAGGAGAGCUGGGACCUGACCCAGGGCCGGUGGGUAACAAGAUCCACUGGGGUGCCCAGAGAGAGGGGAACAUCUCAGUGUCACUUGCUGUCCACUUGCUUUGAUCAGAUGUCUUGAAGUUUGGGUGGCUCCAGCCUCCACUGGGCCUGUGAGGGAAGGACACAGGGGCUGGGGAACAAACACGAGAGGGAGCCCGAUGGUGCCACGCACUUAGGUGCUGUCACGCUUAGAGGAGAGAUGUCCUACCUGGACAAGGACACACUUGCUCCCAGGAGACAAAGGUCCACGUGGAGGCUGCAGCCCACAGCAUGCAGCGGGGAGGGCAGAACCUGACAGGUUUCUCCCCGCUCAGAGUUCUGGGUCUCCGAGAGCUGAAGAUCUGGGCAUCCCUUCUCUGACUGGAGGUUAGGCAGUAAUGUCACUGCUCCGAUGUCAUUAUCCCUCCUGGUUCCCAUGAGCCUCCCUUGCCAGGUCCCUGGCUACGCCGGUCCAGGAACUCUGCUUUGUUCCGCAAAGCCCCUCACAUGAAGGGCAGGGCUGGGACGGUCUAGGCUAGCUGGGGUUAAGCCACAGGUGUGUCCACAGCUCCUCAGCUUUUCCUUUCAGGCGGGUGUUCCUCUACCUGUUCCUGCUAGGGCAAGGAGUCUGCCCCCUCCCAGCACCACACUGCACUUUUUUCCCCUUGCAAGCUCAGAGAGACUCCCUAAUGACUGCCGAGCUGAAGGUUUGGCCCCCUGAUGGGACUGCACAACCUCAAAUUAGUGUUGAUAGCAUUAAGCCUUAUAGUGGAAAAGAGCUCCAAGCAAGGCUUUCCUUAACCCUCCUGGUCCCAGAUAGCUGGCUCUAUGCCCCUGCUCUGCCCAGGCGACUUUUGGCAUUCAGCGGUUCCACAGUGCCCCCAUGUGGCCUACUGGGCAGUAAUCAAGAGAUUGCCUCUACCGUGAUGUGAGUCCUGGGGUAUGUUUAAAUUAGAAGCUAUUCUGGGGCACUUGGGUGGCUCAGUUGGUUAAACAGCCAACCUGGGCUCAGGUCAUGAUCUCACGGUUUGUGAGUUCAAGCCCCGCGUUGGGUGCUGGGCUGACAGCUCAGAGCCUGGAGCCUGCUUUGGUUUCUGUGUCUCUCUCUCUGCCCCUCCCCUGCUCAUGCUCUGUCUCUGCCUCUUAACAAGAGGUAAAGGUUAAUAAAUUAGAAACUAUUCCA